GAGAGAGAGAGAGCGACGAGGGCCUCAUCUUUUGGGUUUUGGUUAUUUGCUGGACACAGAGAGAGAUAAAGCGAAGUAAAUAAAGGAAAAAAGGAGAGAAGAAGAGGCCAUCCCUUCAAAAUGUCCAUCGAUAGGGUGGAGUUUGCCAUUGGAGGCUUAAUCGUGGACACCAAGGUGUUCUAUUGGCCAAGAAAGGACUUUUGCUAUGGAUUUCCGUGUGCUUAGCUUUGCUGAUUGAAGAAGAUGAAUGGAAAAAUGAGCUCUUCUUCAGCUUCAGAAGGUCUCCAUUGUUUUCACCUGUCAUGACUCAAUAGCUGACCCUGCAGCACUCAAAUCAAAUUGCCUAACUGGACAGCUGAUUCUCCUGCAAAGAUGCAUUCUUAUGCUUAAAACGGUUGCUACCUUGAGGAGAGAUGCUGCUGCUCAGGAGUUGAUGUGUGCUUGGAGUGCUGGCCAUUUAUGACAAUUGCUAUUAAAGUGAUUGACACUGCCCAUUGAGAUGACUUUGGUUUCAAUGACAUUCUUUGGGUAUACAGUGGUCGACAUGGUGUUCACUAUUGGGUUUGUGAUGAGAAAGCUAGAAGUGCAGAGACUUAGAGAAUUAGUUCAGCAGGGGAUUUUCAGAUUGUGAGCACAUGCAGAGGACGUUAGCCAAGGAAUUUCAACACAUGAAGUCUUACGUAUGCAAAGGUUUAAAGAAUUGAUUACUAUAGCUUUGGUGAUUGUUUAUCUCCCUCUCUUAUGAAUGUUGGAUUCUAUUAGUUAUGUCGUCAAUAUAUUGAACUUCACAACUUAUUGUUCU